UACGGGGGGGGCAAGCGUUGUUCGGAAUUACUGGGCGUAAAGGGCUCGUAGGCGGCCAACUAAGUCAGACGUGAAAUCCCCAGGCUCAACCUGGGAACUGCGUCUGAUACUGGUUGGCUUGAAUCCGGGAGAGGGAUGCAGAAUUCCAGGUGUAGCGGUGAAAUGCGUAGAUAUCGGGAGGAACACCAGUGGCGAAGGCGGCUUCCUGGCCUGUUCUUGACGCUGAGGCGCGAAAGCUAGGGGAGCAAACGGG
rnacentral:rRNA from 1 species